AAUGAUCCGAGCAACUUUUAUCAACCCGGAUAUCUACCGCCGAGAUGCCGGGACUUGUUGCAGAAACGUCAAACGGACACGGCAGCCAACAAAAGAAAGGUCACAAAGUGGCAUCAAGAGAGAGCAAGAAGUGGGCACAGGACCAGUGGAGCAGGUGAGAUGUGAGGUCACACGGUGACCCAGCGGUAGAGUUGCUGCCUCA